UACGUAGGGGCAAGCGUUGUCCGGAAUCAUUGGGCGUAAAGAGCGCGUAGGCGGCCCUGUAAGUCCGCUGUGAAAGUCAAGGGCUCAACCCUUGAAUGCCGGUGGAUACUGCAGGGCUAGAGUCCGGAAGAGGCGAGUGGAAUUCCUGGUGUAGCGGUGAAAUGCGCAGAUAUCAGGAGGAACACCGAUGGCGAAGGCGGCAUCCUGGACCGACACUGACGCUGAGGAGCGAAAGCCAGGGGAGCAAACGGG
rnacentral:rRNA from 1 species